rnacentral:misc_RNA from 1 species
ACUUCUACACUGACUGUUUUAACUGUGGAUAAAAUAAAAAAAAAAAAGAUCUACUCUACAGAUGAUUUCUAGGGUUUCAAUGAUUCCAGUUUCCUUUUUUCAAUGAUUACUUUUCGUAAAUUUCAGCCGGAGGUUCUUUUUUUUAGUUUUACCUAGUAGUGUAGAAAACGGCGGCGGCCAAGGCGAGACCGGCCAAGGCCGUGACAGCAAAAGCUAUACCGGCAUUCGAAGGUUGACGGUCCAUCCAGAAAGCACCACCGUUUCCUCCGUUAACGCCGACGAAUACUCCACCGAGCUUACUGAUUCUGGUGCCGAUGGAUUCAACCACAUUAGAAGCGACGACGGAGGUGAAGAAGAGAUUGAGCAUGGAGAUGGAGAUAGAGAUGGAGAGAGAAAGGAAUCUAUUAUGACGAUUCUGCCCCUAUGCUUCACCUUGCCGAUUAGAUUUUCCACCAUAACCAACCCAACCUUCCCUUCUCAACUGCUUUUCUCUUCUUUCUUUUUUUUCUUUUACUUUGGUUUGGCUCUUCUUCUCAUG